UGCACUCACUACUGUAAGUCACUCUGGAUAAGAGCAUCUGCUAAAUGAAUGAAU
rfam:Salmo salar isolate Sally breed double haploid chromosome ssa09, whole genome shotgun sequence.